UGGGGAAUAUUGGACAAUGGGCGCAAGCCUGAUCCAGCCAUGCCGCGUGAGUGAUGAAGGACUUAGGGUUGUAAAGCUCUUUCGCUAGGGAAGAUAAUGACGGUACCUAGUAAAGAAGCCCCGGCUAACUUCGUGCCAGCAGCCGCGGUAAUACGAAGGGGGCUAACGUUGUUCGGAUUUACUGGGCGUAAAGCGUACGUAGGCGGAUUAGAAAGUUAGGGGUGAAAUCCCGAGGCUCAACCUCGGAACUGCCUCUAAAACUUCUAGUCUAGAGAUCGGGAGAGGUGUAUGGAACUCCUAGUGUAGAGGUGGAAUUCGUAGAUAUUAGGAAGAACACCAGUGGCGAAGGCGAUACACUGGCCCGAUACUGACGCUGAGGUACGAAAGCGUGGGGAGCAAACAGGAUUAGAUACCCUGGUAGUCCACGCCGUAAACUAUGAGAGCUAGCCGUUGGGAAGUUUACUUUUCAGUGGCGCAGCUAACGCAUUAAGCUCUCCGCCUGGGGAGUACGGUCGCAAGAUUA
rnacentral:rRNA from 1 species